rnacentral:rRNA from 1 species
GUCUUUUUGAUAAAAAUAUAAAGUCUAACCUGCCCACUGAAAUAAUUUGAAGGGCCGCGGUAUUUUGACUGUGCAAAGGUAGCAUAAUCAUUAGUCUUUUAAUUGAAGGCUUGUAUGAAUGGUUGGAUGAGAUAUUAACUGUCUCAAAUUAAUAUUUAGAAAUUAAUUUUUAAGUAAAAAAGCUUAAAUAUAAUUAGAGGACGAGAAGACCCUAUAGAUCUUUAUAAUAAAUUAAUUAUAGAUAAUUUAGUUAAUUUUAGUUUAUAGUUAAUUAAUUAUUUUGUUGGGGUGACAGAUAAAUUUAAAAAACUUUAUUUAAUAUAAACAUUUAUUUAUGAAUAAUUGAUCCAUUAUUAAUGAUUAUAAGAUUAAGUUACCUUAGGGAUAACAGCGUAAUUUUUUUAGAGAGUUCAUAUCGAUAAAAAAGUUUGCGACCUCGAUGUUGAAUUAAAGAUUAAUUUAGGUGUAGAAGUUUAAAUUUUUGGUCUGUUCGACCAUUGAAUC